rnacentral:tRNA from 1 species
AGGGGUGUGGCUCAGAGGUAGAGCACUUGUCUAGCACAUACAAGGGACUGGGUUCAAUUCUCAGCAACACAU